GACGGGUUCCCUGGCGCGAGUUGACUGAAAAGACUUCCUUCUUCCUGGAUGCCGCGUGCGUUCCAUUCUUUUCCCUCCCGAAAACGCCGCACAUCACAACGACAGACCACCCAAAAAAAAAGUUGAUUUUUUUUUCUGGGAGGAGGUGGUCGUCGUCGUCGUCGUCUCCGUCUACCUCCUCUCCGCCUCCGAUGCCAUUAACCCCACUCCCACGGCCAGCCUCUCGUCGCGAGCCCCCGUGAUGCCAUCGUGGUGGAAGCGCUCCAAGACCGCCUUCCGCCGCUCCGCCACCACCGCCGCCUCCUCCGCCCCGGCCUCCCCCGCGCGGGCGUCCACCUCGCGCUCACAGACGCGACGCGCGGGGUCCGAAGACGCCGGGGACCUCCUCCUCGCGCGGCCACACCGCCAGCCGCGCCAGCUCACGCGACAGCGGAAGCUGCGCCACGUCUACGAUAUCGACGCGCUGCUCGCCGACCUCGGCAUCGACGUCGCGUCCUCCUCCUCGCCGCCGCACGCCAGGGGGCGCGCCUCCGCAUCCGAUGCCGUCGGCCUCGGUCCCCCGAUCUCGAGGUCCUCCAACGCCGCGGACGGGGUGGUAGCUCCGCCUCCGAGGUCCGCGUCGUCCCCCGUGUUGCACCCGCUGCCGUUGCCGUCACCGUCACCGAAGCCCCCCGCAGAGCUGGAGACGACGGACUCGGCGGGGGUCGCGGAAGGCGGGAACGAGAGGGCGUCGUUGCAAAUACCGAGGGUGACAGGUCAGACUGUGCAAAAGUUCCCUGAACAUAAUGAUUUCUGCUCAAAUGGUACAAAGCGGUCUACCUCUAGUCACCACCGAAAAGCACUCCGUGACAAGUUCCAGGAUAAGAGUUCAGCUGAAACAGGGAACUUCCGUUUGAACAUUCCAACUAGAAGUGCUCCAACCAGUGGAUUUUCCAGUCCCGUAGGCAGCCCUCCAAGAUUGAGCAAUGCUGACGUCUCAUCUACUGUGGCAUCUUCUCAUGCUCCUCAAGCAUGGUCAGCUCCAUCGAUCCACACUAUUGAUUUUCUGGGAGCUUUAUCUCCUCGGACUUCGCCUGAAAAACUUACAGGGGCUUCAGAGCCAUCUCCUUACUCUAGUACAUUCAGAAGUCCUAUUCUUAUGCCAAGGAAUACCAGUGCCCCUCCAUCGCCACUCCCAAAGUUAUUCCCAGAAAACCAAAUUUCACGUACUGAAGUCAAUGGAAGUGCUAGUUUGCAUCCAUUACCACUUCCUCCUAGUGCUAUAAGCCCAAUGCAAACAUCUUUCAGCAACCAGCCUGCUCCAAAAGUUGAAAUGCCUUCGGUGUCUUGUCAGUGGCAAAAAGGAAAACUUCUAGGUAGUGGUACAUUUGGCUGUGUAUAUGAAGCUACCAAUAGGAACACUGGAGCUCUUUGUGCAAUGAAAGAGGUCAACAUAAUUCCUGAUGAUGCUAAAUCUGCCGAGUCGUUGAAUCAACUGGAGCAGGAAAUAAAGUUCCUAAGUCAAUUUAAACAUGAAAACAUAGUUCAGUAUUAUGGCAGUGACACUAUUGAAGAUCGUUUCUACAUUUACCUGGAAUAUGUACAUCCGGGUUCGAUUAAUAAGUAUGUCAAACAACAUUAUGGAGCAAUAACAGAAUCAGUUGUCCGUAACUUCACCCGACAUAUUCUUAGAGGCCUAGCUUUUUUGCAUGGCCAAAAGAUUAUGCAUAGGGAUAUCAAAGGAGCAAAUCUGCUAGUUGAUAUCAAUGGUGUAGUGAAAUUGGCCGAUUUUGGAAUGGCCAAGCAUUUAAGUACUGCAGCCCCAAAUCUUUCAUUGAAGGGAACACCAUACUGGAUGGCCCCAGAGAUGGUUCAGGCUACACUAGCUAAAGAUGUAGGAUAUGAUCUCGCUGUUGAUAUCUGGAGUCUUGGUUGCACCAUCAUUGAGAUGUUCGAUGGAAAACCUCCUUGGAGUGAUCUUGAAGGGGUAAUAACUUGGAGCGUUUAGCUUUACACCUGCUGCAAUGUUUAAGGUUUUGCAUAAAGACCCACCAAUUCCUGAGAAUUUAUCCCUAGAGGGAAAAGAUUUUCUGCAAUGCUGUUUCAAGAGGAAUCCAGCAGAGAGGCCGACCGCAAGUGAGUUGUUGGACCAUCCAUUUAUCCGGAAUUCAAGUCACUACAGCAAACAUGGUUCCAUACAUGCGUUUGCGGGGAUUAAAGUCCAUGAUAACGGAUACGGUUUCAGGGACAAAACAUCCUCCAAGAGUGAACCAUAUGUGAAAGGAAGAAAUACUAUUGGUGAACCAAACAAUUCUAGGCCAUUCGAAUCGUCAGCCUUUCGACUGACGCCACUAACAAUCCAGGAAGUCGCACCUAAUUUCGCCCCUCAACCGUUUGGUUUAGCGUCCAAUCCUGGUUCCUUUGCCAUCUCAACGAACCCCAUGCAUUUUCCGAUGGCGAACCCUCAGCCUAGCCCACUGCCAAGGCCCAAUGGAAAGGAGGUUCUCUUCUAAGCAUAUAAGGUGCUGCAUGCAUUGUCUCAAAAAAAAAAGGUGCUGCAUGCAAUGGGUAAUGCCACUGAUAUCUGGGAUCUUGUUCAGGUGCACAGCUCCUUUGCACAAUACCAAUCAAGAACUGAUUAAAGCAUAACAGAGAAAGAAAGGAAAUAUAAGAGAGGGAGAUGAAAUCUCGCGCAGCUAGAAACUUUAUAAGGAUCAGCUGCACGUGGUAAUAGUGGAAGGAACACCGCAUCCAUGCAGAUCCCUUCCUACACCAACAGUCAUGUGACAGAAAACAUCAAUAUUUCGCAGACGCCGUCUGAACUUCUAGUAAUUGAGCAGCAGUUGCACUUGCAUGUAUGAUACCCCACAGUUUAUCGGGUUGAUGUAUAUAUAAUAAGUAGCAAAGACUAGAUGUUUUUGUCAGGCUGUCAAGACUCAAAGUAUGGUGACAACUGAAUGCUGAUGAAUGGGAGAUCCAUGAGAGCAUGGGUGCCCUUUCUUUCGGGGAAAUAUUGCUGGCAUUUAUUGUGUAACAUAGAACUAGGAUUAGCUGUAGAUAAAGCUGAAAGUUCAUCUCUCUCCCUCUCUAGUAGGAAUCAGGUGUAGCUAUAUGUUGCCAUGUAACAAUCUUUUUGUUCUACCAUCGAUUAUUUAUUGAGAGAUUGUACAGAACAGGUUUUAUUUUUUCCUGUUCAGAAGGUUUAUCUGAGCUCCUCUAACAUUCCUUUUAAUUCUAUACAUUGGCC
rnacentral:rRNA from 1 species